rnacentral:rRNA from 1 species
AUUGAACGCUGGCGGCAGGCCUAACACAUGCAAGUCGAACGGUAACAGGAAGAAGCUUGCUUCUUUGCUGACGAGUGGCGGACGGGUGAGUAAUGUCUGGGAAACUUCCUGAUGGAGGGGGAUAACUACUGGAAACGGUAGCUAAUACCGCAUAACGUCGCAAGACCAAAGAGGGGGACCUUCGGGCCUCUUGCCAUCGGAUGUGCCCAGAUGGGAUUAGCUAGUAGGUGGGGUAACGGCUCACCUAGGCGACGAUCCCUAGCUGGUCUGAGAGGAUGACCAGCCACACUGGAACUGAGACACGGUCCAGACUCCUACGGGAGGCAGCAGUGGGGAAUAUUGCACAAUGGGCGCAAGCCUGAUGCAGCCAUGCCGCGUGUAUGAAGAAGGCCUUCGGGUUGUAAAGUACUUUCAGCGGGGAGGAAGGGAGUAAAGUUAAUACCUUGGCUCAUUGACGUUACCCGCAGAAGAAGCACCGGCUAACUCCGUG